GGGCGCUGUGGCUUAGUUGGUUAAAGCGCCUGUCUAGUAAACAGGAGAUCCUGAGUUCGAAUCUCAGCAGAUCCU